rnacentral:ribozyme from 15 species
AGUGAAAAAGGUCUGUAAGGAACUGAAAAAAGAUGGAAAACUAAAUCCUAAUAACAUUUACUUCUUGUCUUUGUCAUCUUUAUCUUCACCUUCGCCCUCCUUUUUCUCUUC